UACGUAGGGUGCGAGCGUUGUCCGGAAUUAUUGGGCGUAAAGAGCUCGUAGGCGGUCUGUCGCGUCUGCUGUGAAAUCCCGAGGCUCAACCUCGGGCUUGCAGUGGGUACGGGCAGGCUAGAGUGCGGUAGGGGAGAAUGGAACUCCUGGUGUAGCGGUGGAAUGCGCAGAUAUCAGGAAGAACACCGAUGGCGAAGGCAGUUCUCUGGGCCGUAACUGACGCUCAUGCACGAAAGCGUGGGGAGCAAACAGG
rnacentral:rRNA from 1 species